AAGACUAUACUUUCAGGGAUCAUUUCUAUAGUUUGCUACUAAAGACAAGUUUAUUUUCAUGCCAAGAAGUUUUGAAAUCCAUGA
ensembl:snoRNA U3 Small nucleolar RNA U3